GCAAACAGACUGUGAUCCAGAGAUCUCUGAAUGGGGGAACCCAGCCAGCACAAGCUGGUUAUCUUGUACUGAAUACAUAGGUGCAAGAGGCGAACCAGGGGAACUGAAACAUCUAAGUACCCUGAGGAAAAGAAAUCAACCGAGAUUCCCUUAGUAGUGGCGAGCGAACGGGGACUAGCCCUUAAGUGGCUUUGAGAUUAGCGGAACGCUCUGGAAAGUGCGGCCAUAGUGGGUGAUAGCCCUGUACGCGAAAAUCUCUUAGUCAUGAAAUCGAGUAGGACGGAGCACGAGAAACUUU
rnacentral:rRNA from 1 species